AACGAACGCUGGCGGCAUGCCUAACACAUGCAAGUCGAACGAGGCCUUCGGGUCUAGUGGCGCACGGGUGCGUAACGCGUGGGAACCUGCCCUUAGGUUCGGAAUAACUCCCCGAAAGGGGUGCUAAUACCGGAUAAUGUCUUCGGACCAAAGAUUUAUCGCCUUUGGAUGGGCCCGCGUUGGAUUAGCUAGUUGGUAGGGUAAAAGCCUACCAAGGCGACGAUCCAUAGCUGGUCUGAGAGGAUGAUCAGCCACACUGGGACUGAGACACGGCCCAGACUCCUACGGGAGGCAGCAGUGGGGAAUAUUGGACAGUGGGCGAAAGCCUGAUCCAGCAAUGCCGCGUGAGUGAUGAAGGCCUUAGGGUUGUAAAGCUCUUUUACCCGGGAUGAUAAUGACAGUACCGGGAGAAUAAGCUCCGGCUAACUCCGUG
rnacentral:rRNA from 1 species